rnacentral:rRNA from 1 species
UACGGAGGGUGCAAGCGUUAUCCGGAUUCACUGGGUUUAAAGGGCUCGUAGGCGGCCAACUCAGUCGGACGUGAAAUCCCUCGGCUUAACCGGGGAAUGGCGUCCGAUACUGGAUGGCUUGAGUUUGGGAGAGGGAUGCGGAAUUCCAGGUGUAGCGGUGAAAUGCGUAGAUAUCUGGAGGAACACCGGUGGCGAAGGCGGCAUCCUGGACCAACACUGACGCUGAGGAGCGAAAGCCAGGGGAGCAAACGGG